rnacentral:piRNA from 1 species
UUGUAUGUCUUCAGCCAUUUU